UCUAAGUGGAGUAUUAUAUAGCGAAACUGCGAACGGCUCAUUACAACAGAUAUAAUUUACUAGUUCUUGUUUCUAUAUGGAUAACUGCGGUAAUUCUGGAGCCAAUACAUGCAUCAAGCCCUGGCCGUCCGGUUAGGGUGCAAUUAUUGGAGCAAAACCAGUCUCGUACUGUUUGCUAACUCAGGAUAAUUCUGCAUAUCGCAUGGUCUUGUACCGGCGAAGUUUCUUUCAAGUAUCUGCUUUAUCAACUAUCGUUGGUAGUUUAUUGGUCUACCAUGGUGUUGACGGGUAACGGAGAAUCAGGGUUUGACUCCGGAGAGGGAGCCUUAGAAACGGCUACCAUGUCUAAGGAUAGCAGCAGGCGCGAAAAUUACCCAAUAUCAAAACGAUGAGGUAGUGACGAGAAAUAACAAGAUCGUUCUCUUUGAGAUCGAUUAUUGGAAUGAGUACAAUCCAGAAAUUUUAACGAGUACCUACGAGAGGGCAAGUCUGGUGCCAGCAGCCGCGGUAAUUCCAGCUCUCGUAAUGUAUAGAAUUAUUGUUGCGAUUAAAAAGUUCGUAGUUGGAUUGCAACGCAGGUAUGGGUCCACCCUCUGGGUGCGUACUCAAUGCUUGCAUUUUGCAUGUUUUUGUGGCGUCGCUUCGGUGGCGUUCAUGAUGCAUGCAGGAUUACUUUGAACGGCUCAAGUGCUUAAAGCAAGUCUUAUGACUGAAUACCGGUGCAUGGAAUAAUGGAACAAGGUUGUGGCUGAGUUUUAUUGGUUUUGUCGGCUAAAACAAUGGUUAACAGGAACAGCCGGGGGCAUUCGUAUCGCUGCGCGAGAGGUGAAAUUCGUGGACCGUAGCGAGACGUCCUACAGCGAAGGCAUUUGCCAAGAGUGUUUUCAUUAAUCAAGAACGAAAGUCAGAGGUUCGAAGGCGAUUAGAUACCGCUCUAGUUCUGACCGUAAACGAUGCCAACUGUCGAUCCGCUUGUGGAUUUUAUUCAUGAGCGGGGAGAUUUCCGGAAACGAAAGUUUUUCGGUUUCGGGGGAAGUAUGGUUGCAAAGCUGAAACUUAAAGGAAUUGACGGAAGGGCACCACCAGGAGUGGAGCUUGCGGCUUAAUUUGACUCAACACGGGAAAUCUCACCCGGCCAGUACAUCGUAAGGAUUGACAGACUGACAGCUCUUUCAUGAUUCGGUGAAUGGUGGUGCAUGGCCGUUCUUAGUUCGUGGAUUGAUUUGUCUGGUUUAUUCCGAUAACGAACGAGACUUUAACUAUUAAAUAGUGCGCAUGUUGCUUCGGCUGCGUGUGAUCACUUCUUAAAGGAAUUUGUGGUUUUCAACCUCAAGAAAUUGAGCAAUAACAGGUCUGUGAUGCCCUUAGAUGUUCGGGGCCGCACGCGUGCUACAAUGGUGGUAACAGCGUGAUUGUCCUUUUCCGACAGGAAUUGGCAAACAGUUGAGAUAUUAUUAUGGCUGGAAUUGAGUGUUGAAAUUUUCUCUCAUGAACGAGGAAUUCCAAGUAAAUGUGAGUCAUUAACUUGCAUUGAUUACGUCCCUGCCCUUUGUACACACCGCCCGUCGCUGCCCGGGACUGAGUUACUUCGAGAAAACUAGGGAUCGCUGGAGUUCGAUGUUUCGGCAUUGUCUUUGGUGAGAACUAGUUUAAUCGCACUGGCUUGAACCGGGCAAAAGUCGUAACAAGGUAACCCGUAG
rnacentral:rRNA from 1 species